CAAACACCUUGCCCACCUUCUGCACACCAAGCGUGGAUUCUGCAAAACGUGAGCCCAACAGGAAGCUGCCUGCAAUUUCAGGUAGAUUUUCUGACUCUUUAAGGGAUCUCAAGUAUACUUUCAGAGGAAUGCCAGCAAAAACUGUAGUCAUUCGGGAAGGAAUAAGUCUGGAAGAAGAAGAUACAGUGAACUAGCACAACGAGGAGUUUGAAAAGUUCAUGACAGCUCACAGCUCACGAUGGUGGCGAUCUUAAGGAUACAGAAAGCUCAUUCCUCAUGCAGGGAAGAAGAAAAUAUUCUAAAGAAGAGAUAAGCAUAUUCCGCGAAAUCAAAAAAGGAAGCCAUAGAGGAAGGAGUCUCCCAGUUCUCAGGACCAGUCUUCUGAGUCUUCUGAUAAACUUGUUCUCUCUCCAGCUCCUGCCAAGUUUCUCCUGGGUGACUCUGUUAAAUCUAUUUUUUGAAGAUGUCAUCACUGCAGCGUGGAGUCAGGAAAUGAAGAAAACAACAGAGCUUUCCUCGGGUCAUCUUGGGGUCUUUCAGUAAACUGAAAGUAACUGAGUUAGAAAGGAAUCUCCGGGAGAGGCCAGGGGAGUACCACCAGCCCACCACUACAGAGAAGUUCAAAGCUAAGCUACUCACAGAAAACAAUGCUCAACCACAAGGCGGAUGUGCUGUUUUUCACACCCCAAGUCAUUUAUCUGAAAAGCAAUAGCAGUAAAUUCUUCAAGUGUUUGCUGUGAUCGGAUUUCUCCAGAAGAAAGAAGAUAAAGAAUGCUAAACUUCUCCAUCCCAUGUUUGCCUCACACACCUGUUUCUCCUAGGCAGAUUCUUUAAACCUUUUUUUCCUCACUUUUCAACACGAAACUAUAAAAUUAAAACAAUUAUUUUUAAUCCUUGGGGAUAUUCACUUAAUUAAUAUGUUCACUGUUAUAUCUGUUGUGACAAUAAGAGAAUCUCCCUGGGAAGUGAACACACUUUCCACAUGGGCAA
rnacentral:lncRNA from 1 species